rnacentral:lncRNA from 10 species
AAACACUGUCUCAAAUCCUAAUGUCACAGUUUUCAUUUAUCCUUGGUCAUGGAUAUAGAUCUACGGGGAAAAUUAAUUGUUUCUAUUUAUUCUAUCCUAGUUACAAUAAUCCUUAACUUUAAGUAUUGUACCUCCCUUUUUCUUAGUACUUAGAGUAGAAAACCAGAGAAGCAAAUCCAUUUAUUUUACUAGAAAGAAAAUUCUUACUUGUUUUAUCUAGAACCAUGAAAAAGAAGUGGUAUCACAAAUCUGCUUAGUUUUUUUGGACUUGAAGCGUAGAGUCGAAGGCUUUUGAGAUUCCACAAUGCUUGGGAGAAAAUGUGGAUGUCUCCAGGGAGGCCAUACCUAAUGAGGAGCUCCCAACAAAUGGCAACUGAUGUUACCUACAACCGAAUACGUCAAGAAGGAGCUUUGCCCAUGCGUUCUGCCACCUUCUGCCAGGAAUUACACCUGUCCCAUCCCGUCGUCUCCUGAAUGUCCAGAGACAGGGGUCUCCCCGUGUUGUCCAGAACGGUCUUGAACUCCUGGUCUUCAAGCAAUCUUCCUGCCUUGGUCUCUCAAAGUGCUGGGAUUACAAGUGUGAGCCACCAUACCCGGUCAUAGCGCUCUUAUAAAAUGCAUCAUCACAUUUAUUUUAUAAAUUCAGAAACAAAAGUCUGUAUAGAGAAGUUUUGAAGUUACUAGGGACCUGAAAAUCAUACUGAAGAUGUCUGCAACUAAAAACUCGAAGAGUUCCGAGGCUAGAGGGGUCAGGAGAUGAAUAAAAACGUUAGCCCCAGCUGAUCACAAUGAGGUUAAUCACAAUACUAAUUAAAAAUACUACAGAUCCUAGGACAAUGGUCAGAAGAGUGACUAUACUUUCCUGUUUGCCCUUGGAAAAUCGAGGGCUGACUUUUCUACGUGCUCAGAUAACCUAAAUUGAUAGAGAGAAAGCUAGCAGAGGAUAAGAUAAACUAGUUAACUGUAAAUAAGAUUUUGCUGUUGGAGAAUCUUCUUGUUGCUCUGGUUUUAGAUAGCGGAGGAAGCCAAAAAAUAUCUGCUUUAAGUUACCAGGAGUUGAAGUUCAUCCCUGCUGAAGUUAACAGGUUGCUUCCCUUUUUCUGGUGUAUUCUUACUUUACUGGCAAAGAGAAAAUAAAUUAAUACCUUAUUGUUAAAAGGACUGUAGUGGGAGAAACUCUUUUAUAAACUAGGUGAUUUUGUAUGAUUUUCUGAUAGAAAAUAUUUGAUCAGUUAAUUGUCUUUAGACUCCGGAUUUCCACUGGCCAAAUAUUGUUUAUCUUCUUGGAGUGCUUUGGCGGGCUUUCUUUCCUUAGGAAAUGAGUUGGAAAACAUCAGUGAUACUUCAAAGCCAUAGCUUGAGGUUAUCAUCUGAUUUAUGAAAUGACUAUUUCCAUCAUUUAUCAGAACACAGAGUCCUUCCUGUGGAAUUGGAAUCCUAGUAUGUAAAUAAAAUUGGGGAACUGCUGAUUUUCACAUCAUUGUAGGAAACAACUGAACGAAAAGGUCCAUACCAAAA